UUAGUUUUUUUCUGAACAAUUUGACAAAAAGAUGCUUUAUGUUAAUAUGGGACUUGUAAAUAAACUCAUCAGAGAUACCUGGUUUAAAAUUUAUACUGACGCCAGAAGUGUGUUUGGUCUAUGAAAAGACUCAUUAGUGAUGCUACAAUAAAAAAAUGUUAAAAGCAGAUCUCUGCAAAGAGCAGACUUUUGGUUUUGAUGUAACGUUGACAUUCUAUUUAAAAGAUUAAAAUCUGAAAAAUUGAAACAGAAAAAAGCCUCUAUUUAAAGGUGAUAUUAAUUGAUAGUUUUUGUUACAGAUACAGCAUCUAGUAUAUGUUGCCCUCCUCAAAAGAUAAAGACUCAUAAUUAUAGGACUGGCCACAUAUACAGCAUUUAGUAUAUGUUGCCCUCCUGAUAGAUGAAGACUCAUUUGUAUAGGACUGGCCACAUAUGCAACUUAUGAGAUGUUUGAGUCAUAAAAGGUGCAGCAUAGCAGCAGCAACCCAGCAGAAGAUUUAUAAUUGAGUUGUGAUGAGACAGUUUAAUAUUUUAGAUAAUAAAAAUCAUUUAUGUUUAAAAUAUCAGAUGAUAAUUUGCCAAGUGCUCUCUAUAUGACUGCAAAGAUAUAACAUGCAUAAUUAAGAAUUUACUGGUUUUGUAAACCUCUUUUCCAGUAUUCACAAGUAGUUUCUGAUUGUCAAUUUAGAUAUUUACUUAUUAACCUAAAUUUUGUUAUUAAGUCCAUUUGAUAACUAUUAUUAAGUAAUUGGAACAAUAAGAUUUUAUUUAGAUAUUUAUAUUGAAAUUUUUAUUAUUUAUGUUCCAGAUAUAUACAUCAGACAAUUUUGGU